rnacentral:rRNA from 1 species
AUGAACGCUGGCGGCGUGCCUAAUACAUGCAAGUCGAGCGAACAGACGAGGAGCUUGCUCCUCUGACGUUAGCGGCGGACGGGUGAGUAACACGUGGAUAACCUACCUAUAAGACUGGGAUAACUUCGGGAAACCGGAGCUAAUACCGGAUAAUAUAUUGAACCGCAUGGUUCAAUAGUGAAAGACGGUUUUGCUGUCACUUAUAGAUGGAUCGGCGCCGCAUUAGCUAGUUGGUAAGGUAACGGCUUACCAAGGCAACGAUGCGUAGCCGACCUGAGAGGGUGAUCGGCCACACUGGAACUGAGACACGGUCCAGACUCCUACGGGAGGCAGCAGUAGGGAAUCUUCCGCAAUGGGCGAAAGCCUGACGGAGCAACGCCGCGUGAGUGAUGAAGGUCUUCGGAUCGUAAAACUCUGUUAUUAGGGAAGAACAAAUGUGUAAGUAACUAUGCACGUCUUGACGGUACCUAAUCAGAAAGCCACGGCUAACUACGUG